UCCAGGCCGCCCCCCGAGGCCGGCGCUCCUGCCUUUCUGGAGCUACUGCUCCAGAUCCACUAGCUCCCCUCUGAAGGGCAGCCAUGCUGAAGUAGCAGGGAAGAACUGAGGGGUUGGGGGAGGCAUGCCACAGGGAAGUGCUGGAUGCUGGCCCAGUUUUCCACAGUGCCUUUGCCUGGCUUUCUGCUUCCGUGUUUCUUUUUCUUCUUGGAGCCGUCUACAGGCACAUAGGGAGGACACUCCUCCCGGCCCAAGGAAUUGUGAAUAUGAGACCAAGACGGCCAUCAUGUAGGCUGAGAUGGGGUUUCUGCUCCUCCACGUGCUGUGCAAGGAUGUACCACAGUGCAGGAGGGCCUCCCUGGGAGGGCACAGACCUCCAACUGAUUGAAUUGACACAACUUAGAGCGAAGAACUGUCAGUACUUGGGACUGGAUUUUCAGGUGAUCACAUCUUUAGAGCACAACAGUCCACUUGAGACACUGAUCAGUUGACAAAAGAUGAGAACCUGAUGAUCAACUUCCACCAUCCAUUUAUGCCUCUUCUCACACGUUGUUUCAGCAGGACAUCAGGACAAUGAACUAACAGUGGCAUGCUUGAAGUGAGAGCCCAAACACCGGGAGACCAAUAAUGGAUUUUCUUCACCUGGGGGGAUGGGACAUGUGGCAUUCCAGUUUCUACUCAGAAAUAUUUACAUAGAUUUCACAAAAUGAGAAAAUCCCAUCAAGAAGGG